rnacentral:rRNA from 1 species
AUGGGACAUCGCCGAUUUCUGCACCCAGACCAUGAGUUUCGCUAUGAAUCUGACUCGUUUGAUGGAUUGGAGGAACACAAAGCAGAACCAACUCUUUAUUCUAAAGUUGGAGUUUUAGAUAAGAUAAAAUCAAUUAAGAACUUUGAUGAUUCCAAAACUAGGAAGUUUGUUAAUGGGUUUUUCUCUCAUUUGACUUAUUGGGACUACAAUUUGCUCCGCCACAAUCUAGAUAUUAUGCACAUUGAAAAGAAUGUAUGUGAAAAUAUAUAUGGGACACUUCUAGGAAUAGAGGGCUAG